rnacentral:rRNA from 1 species
ACGGGAGGCAGCAGUGGGGAAUAUUGGGCAAUGGGCGAAAGCCUGACCCAGCAACGCCGCGUGAAGGAAGAAGGCCUUCGGGUUGUAAACUUCUUUUAGCAGGGACGAAGGACGUGACGGUACCUGCAGAAAAAGCAACGGCUAACUACGUGCCAGCAGCCGCGGUAAUACGUAGGUUGCAAGCGUUGUCCGGAUUUACUGGGUGUAAAGGGUGUGUAGGCGGAACUGCAAGUCAGAUAUGAAAUACCGGGGCUCAACCCCGGGGCUGCAUUUGAAACUGCAGUCCUUGAGUAUCGGAGAGGCAAGCGGAAUUCCUAGUGUAGCGGUGAAAUGCGUAGAUAUUAGGAGGAACACCAGUGGCGAAGGCGGCUUGCUGGACGACAACUGACGCUGAGGCGCGAAAGCGUGGGGAGCAAACAGGAUUAGAUACCCUGGUA